rnacentral:lncRNA from 1 species
AAAGAAAUUUGUAGGUAAACAUUUUUGGAAGGGGGCGAGGAAAAAGUUUUGAUCGCAUUUGAUCCAACUAAAAAUACAAGACUCCACUUGCUCGUCUUGACCUUACUAUCAAACCUAUAUGUGAUCACUUGACCUGCUAGAAAUAAUAGUCGCAUUUUCUUUGAAUCGGCCUCAACAUUCCAAGUAAGGAGAGAUAACAAUUCAGCGAGACUUGAACAAUAUUUAGACGGUUCUUUGGAAGGGAACUAGGAAAAAUCCUACUUCCUGUCCCCGACUGUUUCUAAAAUAUGGAGAGCCUGAGAAGAUUAUUGCUGGGAUUUAUCCAGAGUGAUUUUAAGAGUCAUUGGUCUGGAACAUUGCUGACACCCCCCCUUCAAGGCUUUAGUCGAAGAAAUCAACCCCGGUAAUAGCUUCGUAACCAUACAGCGAUGACUGUCAGUUCUGAUCAAGCAGACCUCUGGAUGAAAGCAGUCACUUCAAUUUCAGUUGGAAUGUUAAUAGUGGAACUAUGCUUUGUGGACAGGUCAAGUACCAUAGAAUACAUGGAAGUUUUACAAAAUGAUUCUGGUGCUACAUCAGAUUUACAGUUGUCUCCUUGAAAUGCUUCAUUGGUAGAAACAACAGUGAAAUUCAUCAGACAAAAGAAGUAAAUGGAAAGAUUCAGUCACAAUUUAUUGAAAGUACAACCUGCAAUGCCGCUUACGAAGAAAGUGAAACCACACAUCAAAAGUGAGUUUGUUAAAGAGUUGAGGCAGCACAAAUUGUUUGAGCCAUGCCACCAAAACGAAGACAUUCUUAUUUAUCUCCACAAACAGGGGCCACAAAGAAAACUGCCUCUAUUCGUGCCCAAGAAAACUCACUUCAGCGAUGCCCAAAUGUGUAAUAUUUGAAAACGAUCACCAACAGCGGAAGUUCUGCUCUAAACUACACUUAUUGUCUGGGAUGAAUGCACAGUGGCACACUGUAGUACACUAGAAGCCCAAAAUAGGUCACUAAAGGAUAUUAGAAACAUUACUGCCAUUACGGGAGACUUAACUGUUGUCCUUGCAGGGGAUUUCCGUCAAAUGUUACCAAUCAUACCACAGGGUACAUGAGCUGAUGACAUUUAUGUGUUUCUGAAGUUUUCACCUCUGUGGAGGUUUGUUCGUCAGCUUCCAUUAAGCAAUAAUAUGCGAGCUCAUUUCUAUAAUGACCCCUUAGCUGAGGAAUUCUUUCAUCAACUUCUACUAAUUGGAAAUGGCGCUUUACCAUUGAAUAACACCCUGCAACAGCAUGUAUUUCAAUGUGAGCACAUGGUGUCUAUAUUGGCUGACCUUAAAGAAAAUAUAUUUCCCACAUUGCAAGAUAACUUCAAAAACAUAGCAUGGUUUGCAGAGAGAGCUAUUUUAGCACCUUGGAAUGAAAGCAUUGAUAAAGUAAUCCACGAACUCAUCCACAUUCUACCUAGAGAUGUUUCAACUUUUGUCUCCAUUGAUACUACCAUCAACGAGCAUGCCACUGUUGACUAUCCAGUUGAAUUUUUCAACUCUCUGCAAAUCACAGGACUGCCAUCGCAUUAGUUUUUCCUGAAGAAAAGUGCACCUAUCAUGCCCUUGAGGAAUUUCGACCCACCAUGACUAUGCAAUGGUAAAAGGAUGACUGUAACUACAAUGACAAGUCUUGUCCUACAAGCAACCAUUAUUGCCGGCUGUCAUCAAGGAGAGAUCGGAUACAUUCCAUGCAUGCCCCUUAUUCACUCAAAUGUAUCAUUUCAAUUCAAACGCUCCCAGUUCCCAGUGCGAUUAUGCUUCGCUAUGACAAUCAACAAAGCCCAGGGUCAAACUUUAAAAAUUGCGGGUCCCAAUUUACAAUUACCCUGCUUUUCUCAAGGACAACUAUAUAUCGCAUUGUCUUGAGUUAGCAGUGCAGAUGAUUUGUAUAUUUAUUCCAUCAAUACUGGGCUUACACAAAGCAUAGUUUACCCAGAAGCAUUGUCGGUUUCACUUAACAUAUGCUGAAGUGUGCAGUCUGCCCAAACAUUAGAGAUGAUGCUUUUCAUACUGAAGCAGCUUUCUUUUCAUGUACCUUACUUUCUGCAAUAUGGAAACCUCUACGUCCUCAUACAUUAUUCAAUUCUUUAAAUCUGUAAGUCUAAGUAAUUCUGGGGGCAAUAUUAAGAUUUCAUUCUAAUCUAAGCUGCCAUUCUACAUGAUUUUGGCUUCAACAAUUUCAGCAUUGUUCAUCACAAAAUGACCGAAAAAUAUGUUUAUAAAGAAAAGUUGUUUGCUCCUUGUGUGCCGAUUCUGCCCAUAAGAAAGAAAGAAACAAUACAAUGUGGCUAUAGGUCAUAACACCAGGGCAACGUCGGGAUGCAUUGCUAGUGUGUGUGUGUGUGUGU